GCUAACUAACUAACUAACUAACUAAGUACUUAAAAAAUGAAGAAAAGAGGGGUAUACCUCAGAAACAGAUGAGUCCCAGGGUCAUUCUCGUUUUUGCAGCUGCUAUGGUCAUCUCCAUGUUUACAAACAAUUUCUUCUCUGUGAUUCCACAAUAAACAUCACUUUCUCUUCUGAAAAAAAUAGGAGGAAGUGAGAUAACACUGACCUGCUUCUAGUACUCGUGAGUGCAUCUAGGUAAGAGAGGUGAUGAUGAUGAUGAUGAUGAUGGUGAUGAUGAUGGUGAUGAUGAUGAUGGUGAUGAUGAUGAUGGUGAUGGUGAUGAUGAUGAUGAUGAUGAUGAUGAAGAAAAAGAACAGAAGAAGAAAAAGAAAAGAAGAUAACAACAAUAAUAAACAACACAAAGACUCGGAAAGACAACGUCAGAUACCAGAAUUUUGGGCCAAAACCAGAAGGCUUCUGGCAGCCUCCUGCCUCCCUUGGACCCUUUUUGUUACUUAGCUUCUUUGGAUCUGUGGUUUUUAGCACGGUUAUCCUGAGCUUCAUGGAUAAUAUCCACUUAGGAGGGACUACAGUUAAGAGAUUGCAUGAAUCUCAGGACAG